AAAACAAAGUAGAGUGGUGCUUUAUUUUCUAUUACAUAUUUUUUGCCAUAAACAGGACAUAUAUUUAACGGCUCUAUUUGAGACAUGCGUGGGGAUCAGUUGUCAGUGAAAAUAUGCAGGACAACGCUAUAGCCAGUUUAAACCCGGAUAUAGGCCGUACAUUCGCUUUCCUAUAAAACGUUUGUUACGGUAAACAAUGGAUACAUUAUUGCUGAAGAUGAACAAACAACUUGUUACCACGAUGAUCCUGGUGUGUUUCUUUCUAGUAUAUCUAGGAUCUACAUUUGUCGAUGGUCAGAGGAACUGCAAGUGUAAGAGACAGUGUCUAUCGUUUCCGUGGGAAUGGCACAGUGGCUACUGUAGUGCCCUAGAUACCAGCAUCAGUUAUUGUUGUAAUUACGGGCCACUUGGAUAGGACCUAGCAAAUGACGAAUAUGCCGCUACUGAACACCAUGAAAGACUUGUUCCAUAUAUCAGUGAAGUGAACUGACAUCAAUUAUUGACGAAGAAUUCUGUAACAACACGUUGCAUCAUGAAACAAAUAUGGAAGCAAUUGCGUUGUGAUCAAGUUGCACGAGUUGCAUUCAUUUCAAAUUGCAACGGUGUUAGUUAUAUGUCAAUUCUAAUCAGUAUUGUAGGCCAUAACUUCUGUGUGAAUAAGCAAGUGGAAUCAAUAAGAAAUAAUAAUAAUAGAAAAUAGAAAUAAAAAAGGCGAUGAUACAUUGUA